rnacentral:rRNA from 1 species
GAUGAACGCUGGCGGCGUGCUUAACACAUGCAAGUCGAACGGUGAAGCCCAGCUUGCUGGGUGGAUCAGUGGCGAACGGGUGAGUAACACGUGAGCAACCUGCCCCUGACUCUGGGAUAAGCGCUGGAAACGGCGUCUAAUACUGGAUAUGAGACACCUCCGCAUGGGGUGUGUUUGGAAAGAUUUUUCGGUUGGGGAUGGGCGCGCGGCCUAUCAGCUUGUUGGUGAGGUAAUGGCUCACCAAGGCGUCGACGGGUAGCCGGCCUGAGAGGGUGACCGGCCACACUGGGACUGAGACACGGCCCAGACUCCUACGGGAGGCAGCAGUGGGGAAUAUUGCACAAUGGGCGGAAGCCUGAUGCAGCAACGCCGCGUGAGGGAUGACGGCCUUCGGGUUGUAAACCUCUUUUAGCAAGGAAGAAGCGUGAGUGACGGUACUUGCAGAAAAAGCGCCGGCUAACUACGUGCCAGCAGCCGCAGUAA